GACGAACGCUGGCGGCGUGCUUAACACAUGCAAGUCGAACGCUGAAGCUCAGCUUUUGUUGGGUGGAUGAGUGGCGAACGGGUGAGUAACACGUGAGUAACCUGCCCCCUUCUUUGGGAUAACGCCCGGAAACGGGUGCUAAUACUGGAUAUUCACUGGUCUUCGCAUGGGGGUUGGUGGAAAGGGUUUUUCUGGUGGGGGAUGGGCUCGCGGCCUAUCGGCUUGUUGGUGGGGUGAUGGCCUACCAAGGCUUUGACGGGUAGCCGGCCUGAGAGGGUGACCGGUAACAGUGAGGCUGAGAUGCGGCCCAGACUCCUACGGGGGGGAGCAGUGGGGAAUAUUGGACAAUGGGUGCAAGACUGAUGCAGCGAGGCCGAGUGAGGGAUGGAGGCCUUCGGGUUGUGAACCUCUUUCGCACAUGGUCAAGCCGCAACAAUGGUUGUGGUGAGGGUAGUGGGUAAAGAAGCGCCGGCUAACUACGUG
rnacentral:rRNA from 1 species